AUGAACGCUAGCGGGAGGCCUAACACAUGCAAGCCGAGCGGUAUUGUUUCUUCGGAAAUGAGAGAGCGGCGUACGGGUGCGGAACACGUGUGCAACCUGCCUUUAUCUGGGGGAUAGCCUUUCGAAAGGAAGAUUAAUACUCCAUAAUAUAUUGAACGGCAUCGUUUAAUAUUGAAAGCUCCGGCGGAUAGAGAUGGGCACGCGCAAGAUUAGCUAGUUGGUGAGGUAACGGCUCACCAAGGCGAUGAUCUUUA
rnacentral:rRNA from 1 species